GUGCUUGCUUUGGCAGCAUAUAUACUAAAAUUGGAACUAUACAGAGAAGAUUAGCAAAGGACCCUGAACAAGGACAACACACAAAUUCUUGAAAUGUUCUAUAAAAAA